rnacentral:rRNA from 1 species
UACGUAGGGUGCAAGCGUUAAUCGGAAUUACUGGGCGUAAAGCGUGCGCAGGCGGUUAUGUAAGACAGAUGUGAAAUGCCCGGGCUUAACCUGGGAACUGCAUUUGUGACUGCAUGGCUAGAGUUUGGCAGAGGGGGGUAGAAUUCCACGUGUAGCAGUGAAAUGCGUAGAUAUGUGGAGGAACACCAGUGGCGAAGGCGAGUCCCUGGACAACUUCUGACGCUGAGGCACGAAAGCUAGGGGAGUAAACAGG